rnacentral:rRNA from 1 species
AAAUUGAAGAGUUUGAUCAUGGCUCAGAUUGAACGCUGGCGGCAGGCCUAACACAUGCAAGUCGAACGGUAACAGGAAGCAGCUUGCUGCUUCGCUGACGAGUGGCGGACGGGUGAGUAAUGUCUGGGAAACUGCCUGAUGGAGGGGGAUAACUACUGGAAACGGUGGCUAAUACCGCAUAACGUCGCAAGACCAAAGAGGGGGACCUUCGGGCCUCUUGCCAUCAGAUGUGCCCAGAUGGGAUUAGCUUGUUGGUGAGGUAACGGCUCACCAAGGCGACGAUCCCUAGCUGGUCUGAGAGGAUGACCAGCCACACUGGAACUGAGACACGGUCCAGACUCCUACGGGAGGCAGCAGUGGGGAAUAUUGCACAAUGGGCGCAAGCCUGAUGCAGCCAUGCCGCGUGUAUGAAGAAGGCCUUCGGGUUGUAAAGUACUUUCAGCGGGGAGGAAGGUGUUGCGGUUAAUAACCGCAGCAAUUGACGUUACCCGCAGAAGAAGCACCGGCUAACUCCGUGCCAGCAGCCGCGGUAAUACGGAGGGUGCAAGCGUUAAUCGGAAUUACUGGGCGUAAAGCGCACGCAGGCGGUCUGUCAAGUCGGAUGUGAAAUCCCCGGGCUCAACCUGGGAACUGCAUUCGAAACUGGCAGGCUUGAGUCUUGUAGA